UACGUAGGGUGCAAGCGUUGUCCGGAAUUAUUGGGCGUAAAGAGCUCGUAGGCGGUCUGUUGCGUCGGCUGUGAAAACCCGGGGCUCAACUCCGGGCCUGCAGCCGAUACGGGCAGACUAGAGUUCGGCAGGGGAGACUGGAAUUCCUGGUGUAGCGGUGGAAUGCGCAGAUAUCAGGAGGAACACCGGUGGCGAAGGCGGGUCUCUGGGCCGAUACUGACACUGAGAAGCGAAAGCGUGGGGAGCGAACAGG
rnacentral:rRNA from 1 species